rnacentral:rRNA from 1 species
UACGUAGGUGGCAAGCGUUGUCCGGAUUUACUGGGCGUAAAGAGCGCGCAGGCGGUCGAUCAAGUCGAGUGUGAAAGCCCCCGGCUCAACUGGGGAGGGUCACUCGAUACUGAUCGACUCGAAGGCAGGAGAGGGAAGUGGAAUUCCCGGUGUAGUGGUGAAAUGCGUAGAUAUCGGGAGGAACACCAGUGGCGAAGGCGACUUCCUGGCCUGUUCUUGACGCUGAGGCGCGAAAGCUAGGGGAGCAAACGGG